rnacentral:rRNA from 1 species
UUGGCGAACGGGUGAGUAACGCGUGAGUAACCUGCCCUGGAGUGGGGGACAACAGUUGGAAACGACUGCUAAUACCGCAUAAGCCCACGAUCCGGCAUCGGAUUGAGGGAAAAGGAUUUAUUCGCUUCAGGAUGGACUCGCGUCCAAUUAGCUGGUUGGUGAGGUAACGGCCCACCAAGGCGACGAUUGGUAGCCGGACUGAGAGGUUGAACGGCCACAUUGGGACUGAGACACGGCCCAG